CAAAAGUUUGUAUCAAAGGCUGCUAUUUUAAUUGCUGUAUCAAAGGCUGCUAUUUUGCCGAUUCCACCUAUGUUAAAAAUAGAUAAUCAAGUUCUCAUGUACAGGGUAAUUUUGAAUGAAAAAUGAUUUAUGCUGUAGUUGAAAAAUGUUUAAUUCCCUGAACGUUUCACAUCCAAAUCUCUGUGCCAAAAUAUAAAUGGUCCAGAGCAAAAUUUUUUUCUCAUUACCAUCCACUUCCUUAGCCCCAUCACAAGCAUUUUGUGUUUAUGUUUGUCUUUUAAAGUCGGGCUUUGGAGGGAAAAGAAUUUUUGAUAUGUUGUAGAACUUAUUUUUCUAAGACAGAAAAAAGUUGUUUGUAAUAAUUACUUUUUUCUUUGAAGUUCCAUCCAUGUGUUUUCUGUUUAUUUAGCCCUACAUCAAAAACUAUAUUAAGCCACUGUUUGAAAAAGUGUAUGCCGUUGGUUGUGGAGAAUAUUGGCCAUUGAAAAAUAAGGUGGGUGGCAUUUUGAAUAGGGGAUAACAAUCACAAAAGAAAAAUGCUAUAUGACUAGUCCUGUUCUUAUGUGAAUUUUCUCAAUUCUCAGGUGUUCAUGUAAUAACAGUCAAUGUACCUUGAGUUUCAUAUAUAAAAAAAAUAAAUAAAUAAUAAUAAUAAUAAUAAUAAUAAUAAUAAUAAUAAUAGUAAUAAUAAUAGUGUUAUGUCCAAGUCUAUUAUUGCUAUCGUUGCCGUUGUUGCUAUAUUAGUGUCAUCAUUAUUGCUAUUGUUAUUUCAAACACCUUUACCAAUAUCGUUAUUUUUAUUGUUGAAUUGAUUUAAUAAAAAAAACACCAUGAUUUUUAAUGAAACGGUAGGCUAAUGUCAUGCAUGCUACAGGAUUUUUUAUGUAAAUAUAAUUACCGAAUUAUUUGAGUAUUAGAUGCUGUAUACAAAACAAUUAUUUAAAAAUUGUAGAUUCUCAUAUAUAUAUUAUUUUUUUUUUGCAUUUGAAUUGUGAUUUGGUUUUAAAAACAUCACACUUUUUUGUAUGAUUUAAAGUUCGGGAAAAUAAUAUUAUUAUUAUUACAAUUUAUCACAAUCAUAAACAAUCAUGCAUUAAUUAAAAAUAAUUGAUAUGAUAAUAGAUUUCAUAACUUGUAAAUUGUCACUUACAAUUCUUGAAGACUAGUCAAACCACUGAAUGCACCUUGGUUUAGUUCAGUUAUUCGGUUACUACUCAAGUACCUUCAAAAAAAAGAAAAAAUAAAUAAUAUUAUUAUUUAGCAAAUGUAAACUAUAAAUUAAUAAUGUUGCCAGUUGUAAACAUGUUGCCUUUAAUUGGCGAUGUGUUUUAAUUCUGUUUUACCUGAUUUUUUUACCUGAUUGCUAUCGUUACCGUUGUUGCUAGCAUUAGUGUCAUCAUUAUUGCUAUCGUUAUUACAAUCACCUUUAAUUAAGAAUAUCGUUUUUAUUAUUGUUGAAUUGAUUUAAUAAAAAAUAAAAGACACCAUGAUUUUUAAUCAUCAUUAAACAUUAUUAAAUAUUGUUUGUAACCGAUAAUUGAGCUGUAAUCAGUAUGUAACCAACAAUAUGAUGCUCCUUUUACAUGCAUAUAAAUUCAUUGCGAUCAAUAUUUUACGUGAAAUAGGUAUUGUGUGAACAGGAUAAAUGGCAUGAAAUUAAUUAUUUGUAAAGUUAAACAUUCUUUGUAUGGAAUCAAUCGUCAUUACACCGAUAAUAGAUGUGAUUUUCACAACCUUUUUUAUUUAAUACUCGUCAUGUGGUCGAUCACGAUAUUCAUUUCGAAUGAUAUUCGAUAACUCAUGAGGUGUAUAUUGAUGUUUGAGGUCACGGACCCCAUUUACGAUGGACGUGCGAUGUAACUGGCUGUCAAAAGUACAAAACAUCUUACCAACCAGCAAUACAAUACUGAAGCAAAGGCUGCUAUUUGGCCGAUUCCACUUUAUGUUAAAAAGAAGAUAAUCAAGUUUUCAUGUACAAGGGUGAUAGUGACAACAGCAAACUGGCUGAUGUGUAUCUGAAAAAAGAUGCAGGGACACCACUGCUGCCAGAAAACUUCACCUUGUCGAAGGAGCAAAUAUAUGUACGGUGUGUGAUAUGGUCACAGCAUGCCGU